CUUCUUCAUCUCUUAACCCCAAGAGACCAAAACCCUAGUCUCCCUCUCACCCCUCGCGGACUCCGCCUCUUUCCGCCGCCCGAAAUUCGCCUUACGGCGACCGAGUACCUCCAAACCGCCUCAAAUUCACACCUCGUAAUCCCUAGCUCCCUUGCUUCACUAAUCCACCAACAUUUUUACCAAAAACCCCACUAAAUUCCACCAAUUUCAAAUCUAAAAACUAUACCCAAAAAUCCUAAGUCGUCCAAACAACCUCAAAAUAACACCAGAUGACCCUCAACCAUCCCUCACCACUCUCUACUCUUGAUUUCCCAAAAAUCCCCGCCCAAUUCUUCGAGUCCCAAAUCUGUAAAAAACCAGAAACCCUAGUUCUAUUUUUUCCCUUUUUCACAUUUCUUCGGAUUGUUUCCAGACUCGGCUUAGUUGAAAAACCAUGCUAAUAAAUCGUUCUCAAUAAUAACGGUUGGUUAGAAUAUUCUUUAGCUAUAUCAAAGAAGUUCCGACUUGCCAGAUCCCUCCU
rnacentral:lncRNA from 1 species